UAGUUUGAAGGUGAAAUUUUACUUUAUUCUUAACACCAGAGAUCUAUAUGCUACUCACGGAUAUUUAUUAAAUAAUUAUGAGUAAUGCAUACUCAUUAAAAUAUAAAUACAUUUAAGAUAGAAAGAACAACAAAAAUUAUCUCUAAUCACACUAUUCCCUCCUCCCUAUUGAUGUUUUAGCCUUGUUUAUUACAGACCUUUUCUGGGCACUUUAAAAGGCGUACUUUCACCCAAAUACAGACUUGAUUGUGAACUUUUAAAUUUAUUAUUGCAUAAGAUUUUUUAUGUUAGUUAUACAUCUCAUUUGAUCAAGUAUAUAUACGCCAAAGUUUUAUUUAAUAAUUCAUACAUAGUUAUAUCUUUGAGUAACCUUAUAAUUAGAAUUUGUAUAAAUCGUUUUGCUACUAAGAUCUUUGUACAAAAUACUAUUUUUCUGUUGUAUAAUCACUGAGAAUGGAGUGAAAUGGAGUGGACAAAACACAGACUUUGGAGUUAAAUAGAACUGGUUUUGAUUUUCAGUUCUGCUCCUUAUAGCUUGUAAUUUUAAGCAAUGUAUCUAACUUCUCUUGGGCCUUGGUUUCCUUGAAUGUCCUUGCCUUCCUUCUCUCAAUUGGUUUUCCAUGAAUAUGUCACAAAUGUCACUGAAGUAAACAAUAUGAGCUUCGAAAAUUAGCAUCUAGAAUUUACUUAAAAUACUUUAUAAAAACAAAUCAUUUUUAUUUUAUGAUUGAAAUAUGUCUACAUGAUCAUUUUCUUUUUAAGCUCUUUUUCCAUUAAAGAUGUGUCCUAACAUUUUACAUGGUUUUUCUGCCCUCUAGUCUAUUCAGCUACCCAUUAUUAAUUAUUUGUAAACACAAACUUACAUAUGCUAAGGGAACUUCCAUUUAAAGGCAUUCAAUGUUGAAUUCCUUUAUAAUGUCUGCAUUUAAUAAAGUAAAAGGAGUGAGAAAAAAGAUCUGGGAACAGGGCACUGGCUAUGUAAGGAGGGCAAGGUGGGGGCAGGGAGUUGGGGGCUUGGAAUUUGGUGUUUGAUGUUUGAAAGGAGCCAUGGCUAGGGCACAUGUCAAUACAUUGUGUAAACCAAAAAUUAAAUUCUAAGCUCCCGACUGACUGA
rnacentral:lncRNA from 1 species